CGGGUCGAAGUUACGUGUGACCACCAGGUAGUUGCGCAGCACGAUCGCAUGCAGAUGCUC
rnacentral:sRNA from 1 species